AUAAAACGGCAAAUAAAAUGUUGACGAAAGACAAGAAUCGAAGAGCUGAACACAGUUUUGGCAACUCUAUAGCAAACAAUUAGAUGCACGAAUGAAUGAAGAAUAAAUGAAUGAAUAAUGAAAGAAUAAUCUUAAAAAGAAGGUUUUUAUUUAGAAGAGCCAAGCUUUGAUGAAAUAUGAAAAAAGUUGUGAAGUUGUUGUGGAGAUGAAAGAAGAUAACAUAAAAACAGAAAAAUGGUUAAGAGCGCAGAUUCCACAGCCUAAUGUCCUGGGUUUAAAUUCCUACUCUGCCAUUUACCAGUGUGUCUCCACUUCCAGCUACCUGAGCUCCUGAUGAGUGAAGUUCCAGAAUGUCCUCCACAGUUUUGUAGCCAUCACGCAGGAGCAUGAAUGUAACAUCCUGAUUCAUAAAUCAGAAUCACCUUUUAAAAGUUGACUAUCUGUAGGUCUGCUGGUAAUUAUUCCUGCUACACUGGAGAUGAAAGAAAAUAUGGUCUAACCAUGGUGAUCUGCCUCAACUAGGAAACUGAACUACUAAUCAAUACAGAGUAGCAAAGGUGUUAUUAUUCUCACUGCUUUGGGAGUGUAAUAUUCUACCAUAGAUAAGGAGGAAAAUAAAAAAUAAACAGCUGAAUGUCAAGCUCCACUCAAUGUGCUAAAAGUCAACGAUAUCGAAAACAGCCAACGCCAGGAAAGAAUGGAAUAUUUAAAAGUGAGCUUCUGA